rnacentral:rRNA from 1 species
ACCUCGGGAAAUCGAGGCUAAUACCGGAUAUGAGCACUCAUCGCAUGGUGGGUGUUGGAAAGAUUUAUCGGUGGGGGAUGGGCUCGCGGCCUAUCAGUUUGUUGGUGAGGUGAUGGCUUACCAAGACGAUGACGGGUAGCCGGCCUGAGAGGGCGACCGGCCACACUGGGACUGAGACACGGCCCAGACUCCUACGGGAGGCAGCAGUGGGGAAUAUUGCACAAUGGGCGAAAGCCUGAUGCAGCGACGCCGCGUGGGGGAUGACGGCCUUCGGGUUGUAAACCCCUUUCAGCAGGGAAGAAGCGAGAGUGACGGUACCUGCAGAAGAAGCGCCGGCUAACUACGUGCCAGCAGCCGCGGUAAUACGUAGGGCGCAAGCGUUGUCCGGAAUUAUUGGGCGUAAAGAGCUUGUAGGUGGCUUGUCGCGUCUGCCGUGAAAACCCGAGGCUCAACCUCGGGCGUGCGGUGGGUACGGGCAGGCUAGAGUGUGGUAGGGGAGACUGGAACUCCUGGUGUAGCGGUGAAAUGCGCAGAUAUCAGGAAGAACACCGAUGGCGAAGGCAGGUCUCUGGGCCAUUACUGACACUGAGAAGCGAAAGCAUGGGUAGCGAACAGGAUUAGAUACCCUGGUAGUCCAUGCCGUAAACGUUGGGCACUAGGUGUGGGGGGCAUUCCACGUUUUCCGCGCCGUAGCUAACGCAUUAAGUGCCCCCCCCUGGGGAGUACNGCCGCAAGGCUAAAACUCAAAGGAAUUGACGGGGGCCCGCACAAGCGGCGGAGCAUGCUGAUUAAUUCGAUGCANCGCGAAGAACCUUACCAAGGCUUGACAUGCCCUGGACGGCUGCAGAAGAUGUGGCUUUCUUUGGACUGGUGCACAGGUGGUGCAUGGUUGUCGUCAGC